GAGAGAUAAUGAGAUAGCUGGAGGAGAGGAAAGACAGAAUUCUGCCUCCAGUAUGUGUUAGGAAGAGAGAUGAGAGAGAGAACGAGAGAGGUGGAGGAGAGGAAAGACAGAAUUCUGCCUCCAGUAUGUCUUAGGAAGAGAGAUGAGAGAGAGAACGAGAGAGGUGGAGGAGAGGAAAGACAGAAUUCUGCCUCCAGUAUGUGUUAGGAAGAGAGAUGAGAGAGAGAAUGAGAGAGGUGGAGGAGAGGAAAGACAGAAUUCUGCCUCCAGUAUGUGUUAGGAAGAGAGAUGAGAGAGAGAACGAGAGAGGUGGAGGAGAGGAAAGACAGAAUUCUGCCUCCAGUAUGUGUUAGGAAGAGAGAUGAGAGAGAGAACGAGAGAGGUGGAGGGGAGGAAAGACAGAAUUCUGCCUCCAGAAUGUGUUAGGAAGAGAGAUGAGAGAGAGAAUGAGAGAGCUGGACGAGAGGAAAGACAGAAUUCUGCCUCCAGUAUGUGUUAGGAAGAGAGAUGAGAGAGAGAACGAGAGAGGUGGAGGAGAGGAAAGACAGAAUUCUGCCUCCAGUAUGUGUUAGGAAGAGAGAUGAGAGAGAGAACGAGAGAGGUGGAGGAGAGGAAAGACAGAAUUCUGCCUCCAGUAUGUGUUAGGAAGAGAGAUGAGAGAGAGAAUGAGAGAGGUGGAGGAGAGGAAAGACAGAAUUAUGCCUCCAGUAUGUGUUAGGAAGAGAGAUGAGAGAGAGAACGAGAGAGGUGGAGGAGAGGAAAGACAGAAGUCUGCCUCCAGUAUGUGUUAGGAGGAGAGAUGAGAGAGAGAACGAGAGAGGUGGAGGAGAGGAAAGACAGAAUUCUGCCUCCAGUAUGUGUUAGGAAGAGAGAUGAGAGAGAGAUGAGAGAGAGAUGGAGGAGAGGAAAGACAGAAUUCUGCCUCCAGUAUGUGUUAGGAAGAGAGAUGAGAGAGAGAACGAGAGAGGCGGAGGAAAGACAGAAUUGUGCCUCCAGUAUGUGUUAGGAAGAGAGAUGAGAGAGAGAACGAGAGAGGUGGAGGAGAGGAAAGACAUAAUUCUGCCUCCAGUAUGUGUUAGGAAAAGAGAUGAGAGAGAGAACGAGAGAGGUGGAGGAGAGGAAAGACAUAUUUCUGCCUCCAGUAUGUGUUAGGAAGAGAGAUGAGAGAGAGAACGAGAGAGGUGUAGGAGAGGAAAGACAGAAUUCUGCCUACAGUAUGUGUUAGGAAGAAAGAUGAGAGAGAGAACGAGAGAGGUGGAGGAGAGGAAAGACCGAAUUCUGCCUCCAGAAUGUGUUAGGAAGUAAGAUGAGAGAGAGAACGAGAGAGGUGGAGGAGAGGAAAGACAGAAUUCUGCCUCCAGUAUGUGUUAGGAAGAGAGAUGAGAGAGAGAACGAGAGAGGUGGAGGAGAGGAAAGACAGAAUUCUGCCUCCAGUAUGUGUUAGGAAGAGAGAUGAGAGAGAGAAUGAGAGAGGUGGAGGAGAGGAAAGACAGAAUUCUGCCUCCAGAAUGUGUUAGGAAGAGAGAUGAGAGAGAGAACGAGAGAGGUGGAGGAGAGGAAAGACAGAAUUCUGCCUCCAGUAUGUGUUAGGAAGAGAGAUGAGAGAGAGAACGAGAGAGGUGGAGGAGAGGAAAGACAGAAUUCUGCCUCCAGUAUGUGUUAGGAAGAGAGAUGAGAGAGAGAACGAGAGAGGUGGAGGAGAGGAAAGACAUAAUUCUGCCUCCAGUAUGUGUUAGGAAGAGAGAUGAGAGAGAGAACAAGAGAGGUGGAGGAGAGGAAAGACAGAAUUCUGCCUCCAGUAUGUGUUAGGAAGAGAGAUGCGAGAGAGAUGAGAGAGAGAUGGAGGAGAGGAAAUACAUAAUUCUGCCUCCAGUAUGUGUCAGGAAGAGAGAUGAGAGAGAGAACGAGAGAGGUGGAGGAGAGGAAAGACAUAAUUCUGCCUCCAGUAUGUGUUAGGAAGAGAGAUUAGAGAGAGGACGAGAGAGGCGGAGGAGAGGAAAGACAUAUUUCUGCCUCCAGUAUGUGUUAGGAAGAGAGAUGAGAGAGAGAACGAGAGAGGUGGAGGAGAGGAAAGACAGAAUUCUGCCUCCAGAAUGUGUUAGGAAGAGAGAUGAGAGAGAGAACGAGAGAGGUGGAGGAGAGGAAAGACAGAAUUCUGCCUCCAGUAUGUGUUAGGAAGAAAGAUGAGAGAGAGAACGAGAGAGGUGGAGGAGAGGAAAGACAGAAUUCUGCCUCCAGUAUGUGUUAGGAAGAGAGAUGAGAGAGAGAAUGAGAGAUGUGGAGGAGAGGAAAGACAGAAUUCUGCCUCCAGUAUGUGUUAGGAAGAGAGAUGGUUGAGAGAUGAGAGAGAGAUGAGAGAGAGAACGAGAGAGAUGAGAGAGAACGAGAAAGAUGAGAGAGAGAACGAGAGAGAUGAGAGAGAGAACGAGAGAGAUGAGAGAGAUGAGAGAGAGAACGAGAGAGGUGGAGGAGAGGAAAGACAGAAUUCUGCCUCCAGUAUGUGUUAGGAAGAGAGAUGAGAGAGAGAACGAGAGAGGUGGAGGAGAGGAAAGACAGAAUUCUGCCUCCAGUAUGUGUUAGGAAGAGAGAUGGUUGAGAGAUGAGAGAGAGAACGAGAGAGAUGAGAGAGAACGAGAAAGAUGAGAGAGAGAACGAGAGAGGUGGAGGAGAGGAAAGACAGAAUUCUGCCUCCAGUAUGUGUUAGGAAGAGAGAUGAGAGAGAGAUGAGAGAGAGAUGGAGGAGAGGAAAGACAGAAUUCUGCCUCCAGUAUGUGUUAGGAAGAGAGAUGAGAGAGAGAACGAGAGAGGCGGAGGAAAGACAGAAUUGUGCCUCCAGUAUGUGUUAGGAAAAGAGAGAUGAGAGAGAGAACGAGAGAGGUGGAGGAGAGGAAAGACAUAAUUCUGCCUCCAGUAUGUGUUAGGAAAAGAGAUGAGAGAGAGAACGAGAGAGGUGGAGGAGAGGAAAGACAUAUUUCUGCCUCCAGUAUGUGUUAGGAAGAGAGAUGAGAGAGAGAACGAGAGAGGUGUAGGAGAGGAAAGACAGAAUUCUGCCUACAGUAUGUGUUAGGAAGAAAGAUGAGAGAGAGAACGAGAGAGGUGGAGGAGAGGAAAGACCGAAUUCUGCCUCCAGAAUGUGUUAGGAAGUAAGAUGAGAGAGAGAACGAGAGAGGUGGAGGAGAGGAAAGACAGAAUUCUGCCUCCAGUAUGUGUUAGGAAGAGAGAUGAGAGAGAGAACGAGAGAGGUGGAGGAGAGGAAAGACAGAAUUCUGCCUCCAGUAUGUGUUAGGAAGAGAGAUGAGAGAGAGAAUGAGAGAGGUGGAGGAGAGGAAAGACAGAAUUCUGCCUCCAGAAUGUGUUAGGAAGAGAGAUGAGAGAGAGAACGAGAGAGGUGGAGGAGAGGAAAGACAGAAUUCUGCCUCCAGUAUGUGUUAGGAAGAAAGAUGAGAGAGAGAACGAGAGAGGUGGAGGAGAGGAAAGACAGAAUUCUGCCUCCAGAAUGUGUUAGGAAGAGAGAUGAGAGAGAGAACGAGAGAGGUGGAGGAGAGGAAAGACAGAAUUCUGCCUCCAGUAUGUGUUAGGAAGAAAGAUGAGAGAGAGAACGAGAGAGGUGGAGGAGAGGAAAGACAGAAUUCUGCCUCCAGUAUGUGUUAGGAAGAGAGAUGAGAGAGAGAAUGAGAGAUGUGGAGGAGAGGAAAGACAGAAUUCUGCCUCCAGUAUGUGUUAGGAAGAGAUAUGAUUGAGAGAUGAGAGAGAGAUGAGAGAGAGAACGAGAGAGAUGAGAGAGAACGAGAAAGAUGAGAGAGAGAACGAGAGAGAUGAGAGAGAGAACGAGAGAGAUGAGAGAGAGAACGAGAGAGAUGAGAGAGAGAACGAGAGAGAUGAGAGAGAGAACGAGAGAGGUGGAGGAGAGGAAAGACAGAAUUCUGCCUCCAGUAUGUGUGAGGAAGAGAGAUGAGAGAGAGAUGAGAGAGAGAUGAGAGAGAGACCGAGAGAGAUGAGAGAGAGAACGAGAAAGAUGAGAGAGAGAACGAGAGAGAUGAGAGAGAGAACUAGAGAGAUGAGAGAGAGAACGAGAGAGAUGAGAGAGAGACCUAGAGAGGUGGAGGAGAGGAAAGAACACUGAAGGAAGCUUUGUGGUUUUGGAAUGUUGAUGCAGUGCCACACAAUAUGCUUCAGAUGAAUACAUUUAGUUGUAUAUGUGUAAUGAUGUAGUUCUGACCACAUCUACAGAAAAGUAUAUUCUGGUAUAACCUAGGCAUUACAAUUACAGAUGUUGUAGACGUAAAGAUAAAAUAAAACAAUUUAAAAAACUUUAUUUUGUGGGUACAUUUGUAGUGCAAAAAGGACUACAAAAAGGACUACUCUAAAAUGUGAUGUUUCUCUGUGAAAAACAAAAACAAAUGCAAAGAUUUAAAAAAUUGGGACCCACUGAAUUGUUCCACAUAUUUAAGUACAGCUAUUGUAAAAAUGGUUCUCUUCCUGUUGUUGUUUUGAGGAGACAGAUUUUGUUCAAGCCUGAGGAAGUGGAAUAAUUUAAAUACAGAUGUUUUUCACUGUAAACAGCUGUACCGAUCUGGUGAG